rnacentral:rRNA from 1 species
GAUGAACGCUAGCGGCAGGCUUAAUACAUGCAAGUCGUGGGGCAGCAGGUCUGUAGCAAUACAGAUGCUGGCGACCGGCAAACGGGUGCGUAACACGUACGCAACUUACCCAUUACAGGGGAAUAGCCCAGGGAAACUUGGAUUAAUACCCCAUAUUAUAUAGGAUUGGCAUCAGUCUUAUAUCAAAGCUUCGGCGGUAAUGGAUGGGCGUGCGGUUGAUUAGAUAGUUGGCGGGGUAACGGCCCACCAAGUCUACGAUCAAUAGCUGAUGUGAGAGCAUGAUCAGCCACACGGGCACUGAGACACGGGCCCGACUCCUACGGGAGGCAGCAGUAAGGAAUAUUGGGCAAUGGACGAAAGUCUGACCCAGCCAUGCCGCGUGAAGGAUGAAGGUCCUCUGGGUUGUAAACUUCUUUUAUCUGGGGCGAAAAUCACCCUUUCUAGGGUGCUUGACAGUACCAGAGGAAUAAGCACCGGCUAACUCCGUUCCAGCAGCCGCGGUAACAC